UCUCAGAGAUUAAGCCAUGCAUGUCUAAGUACAAACCUUGAAACGGUGAAACCGCGAAUGGCUCAUUAAAUCAGCUAUGGUUCCUUAGAUCGUACAUACUACAUGGAUAACUGUAGUAAUUCUAGAGCUAAUACAUGCCACUAUGCCCUGACCCGCAAGGGAACGGGUGGAUUUAUUAGAACAGAACCAACCGGUGGUGGCUUCGGUCGCUGCCGUUGCAUUCUGUGAUGACUCUGGAUAACUUUACUGAUCGCAGUCGGCCUUGUGUCGGCGACGGAUCUUUCAAAUGUCUGCCCUAUCAAUUUUCGAUGGUAGGUGACCUGCCUACCAUGGUGAUAACGGGUAACGGGGAAUCAGGGUUCGAUUCCGGAGAGGGAGCCUGAGAAACGGCUACCACUUCCAAGGAAGGCAGCAGGCGCGCAAAUUACCCAAUCCCGGCACGGGGAGGUAGUGACGAAAAAUACGGAUACGGGACUCUUUCGAGGCUCCGUAAUUCGAAUGAGUACAUUUUAAAUCCUUUAACGAGGAUCAACUGGAGGGCAAGUCUGGUGCCAGCAGCCG
rnacentral:rRNA from 1 species